rnacentral:lncRNA from 1 species
UUAGUUCAUGGGCAAAAUUGUCUUUUCAUGUUUUUCCUUCCCAAAUAUUUUCUUUCCACAAACCUUUCCUUUUAGAAUAUAUCAUUUUUCUCAAAAAUUAGAGACAUAUAAAAAUUAUAAUACACCAUUGACCAUUAAUAUUAAUCAAAAUACAACCACUAUUACUAUUAAUUUAAAUAACUUGUACAGACAUUAAACUGCAUAUGUUUAUUAUAGGUGAAGAACCAUCUGCUCCAGGGACGACAAAGUUGCCCAAGAGUUUAUACACAACAAUCACAUGUGGGAUAUGUCAUAAGAAAUGCCACAACAGGAGGAGUUGUGAAAGAAGAAACCAGGUUCCAUUCAUCUUUUGGACUACAUUUAUUAGCCAGUUUAUACAUUCUUAUAUUAAAUAAAAACCUAACUUCACUAUUGUUGUGCAGCAACAAGUGCCAGAUGUGAAUGUUGAAGUUCCAAAUGAGAACAUUGAAGUUCCUGUCGACAACAAUGUCGAAACCCCUACUGAUCCUACCACUGUUUAAUAUAUAUAAUUUUAUUAGGACUAUAUAAUUACUCUAUUGGCAUGUAUAACCAACUGUUUAUGGUAGCAACUUUUGUGUGAUCUUUGAUUUCGCUAUCCAUACUCUUUUGGGAAGUUCUGCAAGCAGCGUUAGCGUUCAAGUGCUUGGCUCGUAACUUUUGUGUAACAGUGGUUAUAUUUUGAGACAAUAUUAAUGGCCAAUAGUGUAUUUUAAUUUUCAGAAGUUUUUAUUGGCAUGUACAACCAACUGGUAGCAAAUUAUAUUGCUAAUCUGGGAAUUUUUGUAAGUAGUUGGAGACUUCAAGUUCUUCAUCUUGUAAACUCUUAUGUAAUAGUGGUUGUAUUUUGAUUAAUAUUAAUGGCUAAUGGUGUAUUAUAAUUUCUAUAUGUCUCUAAUUUUUGGGAAAAAUGAUAUAUUCUAGAGGGAAAGGUUUGUCGAGGGAAAAUGUUUGGGGAGGAAAAACAUGAAGAGACAAUUUUCUCCAUGGACUAACUCUAACUUAACGGUGUUAAUAACAGAAUGAACUAAUAUUGGGUUAAGUUUAAAUGUUGAGGUACCAUUGUGAUAGUUUUUAAAAUUGAGAUAUCAAAAUGAUGAAUGAGCUUAACUUUGGGCACAAUUUGAAAAAUUUCCUCUAAAAUUAUAUCUUGAUCGUUAUUUGAGUAUCUGCACCCCUUCCUACUCAGACUCUUGUAAUCUACUCAUACUAUGCCCUCAUUUUGAUUAGUCUAUUGAAUGCCUAUAUACUUGGCAGCAAUGAGAACUUUUCAUGUCAACCAAAAUAAGGGAAGUUGAUUGCUGUAAUAAUAGGUACAAUGAGAACUUGGCAGUAGUUUCUGACAGCAUCUUCUGCAAAACCCAUCGAUGCUUGCAAGCAAUUCAAGUAACUUUUACCUAAAAUCAAGUAGAAGCCCAAAUUUUACGGUAAAAUAUCGGGUAUAAUACUACGGUGGCUGUUAGGUUUUAGGCAAUUCAUGGUUUUUGAUAGUAACAAAAACCAUUUACUAUUUACUAUUUCCCAUUUACUAUUUACCCUAUGUACUUCUCUGGCAGCUCAUCACAGCUGUCUUCUACUUCUCUUUGGGAUUCAUUGAGUUCCUACUUUUCGUUGCUUUCCUGCUUCAGUUUUCAGUUACCUGUUUUGCAAUUCCAGUUUGAUCCCAACAGUUUAAGGGUAGAACUGCUGCAGUAUCCAUUGUUUCUCUGAUUUGGAAACAUAGAAUAGAGAAACAUGAACAGGAUAGGAGCUGACGAAGUAGGCCAGAUCCUGAGGCUGGUCACCGACCCAGCUGAUAGAAAAUCGGCGUCUCAGGUCUGCAAGGGGUGGUGGGUCAUGGAGGGUCUGAGCCGAUCAACACUCCGAGUUCUCAACAUUGAUCAUCUUCCUCGAUUACUUGCGGUACCCAAACUUAACCACAUUCGAAACACCACAGUUAGUGAGCAAUGCCGAUCUCGCAUUGGUGGCUCAGUCAUGCCCCAAAUUGGAGGCCUUCAUACUUGACCAUAUCUCACUUGCGGAAGCGGGAUCCUUCGCUCGAUUAAUUGGAGGUCCCAACUCUGAUGAGUUAGAGAAGAAAGUCCGGGCCCGUAUGGAAGUUGGGGACCAAGGUUUGUGCGCUGUGGCAAAUGGGUGUCCCAAGUUGUCCAAGAUUGUGAUCAAUAACAAUUAUGCUGGAGUGCUUGGAAUUAUAGCCAUGAUUACUUCAGCAGCACAUAACCUCACUCAUUUGGAGUUGGAGACUUGUUCUUUGCUUACUGACCAAGCCCUUGAAGCAAUCGGUUCAUCUAGUUGCCGCCUUAGCUUUCUGAGUUUUAGAUUUUCCUCCAAAAUUACUGAUGCCGGAUUGAGAUUUUUGGCAAAUGGGUCUUGCUCAAAAACCAUUAAGCAAUUGAAACUUUGUAGAUAACGUGAAUUCACUAAUGGCGGGGUCUCGCUUUUGUGCAAGAUGCGUGUCUUGGAGGAGCUGGAUUUGAGUUACUGUUGCCAGCUAACUGAUGUUGGAGGUCAGGCAAUCUCCACAAUUCGAACCCUCAAGAAGUUGAAGUUGGUGGAAGCAAUAUUCCUAACAGAAAGAACGUUCGUGGCUAUUGCUAAGAAUUGCAUAAACUUGGAGGUGCUUGAUCUAGCUGGUUGUAGAGGGAUCACAACAACCUGUAUUGAUGCAUUUUCGGGUCAAAAGUGCUUGCGAUUCCUUAAUCUACAAUGUCGUUCGUGUGAUGAUUUAAGAGGAUCUGCUUUCGAAAGCCUAGCACUUGGAUGCCCUUCACUGGAGACGAUUGUGGUGCACGAAAGUUUGAGAGAAAGGCUGUUGCAGGAAAUGCAAGAGAGUACUGUUAGCAGAAUCCUGGACUUCAAGUGUUGGUAGUUUGAUUAGCACCUUGUAUAGUUUGAUGUAUCAGCGUUUUAUGUGUGAUGGUGCUUUCAAACUAACUAGAGAUGUAGUACUACGUACUGAAUUAUUUGGUUUGCUGUGAAUGUUAGAAAGGUUUCAUUAUAUAUAUGAAACAAUUUCUUCUAUCCAAUCCAUUCUAUGCUUUUACAAGUCUCACUUUAUCCUCAUCUUAGAUCAUUGUCAUUAGCCGCGGCAAUUUCAUUCAUGGGAUGACGUCUGAUUGUUUGUUUAGAUUUGCUAAAUGAGCUCUUACUUUGCAAUGAGUUGACACACGUUUUAUUAGUGCUUUUGCUGUUCUUCUCAUCUAGGGGUUUCCAAUUUGAUCCUCUUUUUAAUAAUUGUUGUGGCUUAACCAGAUACUUAAGAACACACACCUAGGCUAAAUUUGGGCAUGGAACCACCCAAAGUGCAUCAUCUCCUCAAACUGUGAAAGAAUUGCCACAGUAUGUGUAUCUGACAUCUGUUGACUGUGGCUUAUUCCACACCUGUGUUGUUUCAUUUGCAGGAGAUAUGUGGUCAUGGGGGAUGGAGAAGGGCCUCGGUAUGCCCAGAUGCUAGUUUUACUGGGACAGAUGCAGGGGAUACAAUUUCUCCCUUGCAGAUUUUGUGUAAUGGAGCAAACGAGUCUAAAUUUCAGGAGCUGGUCCAAGUUGCAUGUGGUACUGCCAUACUGUUCUUGUAGCAAAUGAUAGAUAUCAGCUUUCGUCUUGGGAAAGGAGACAGAAGUGCUGAGGAGAAUUCUAAGAGAGUCACAGAAACAGAAAAAGGCUUGUCUUCAGCAAUGGAAGAAAUGAAGCAUCUCCAGUCAAAACUCAGUGAUUUUAUUGUCUAAGCUGCCUGCUGAACAUAAUGAAACACUGCUUAAGGUAAUAAAUUGCUGAUUAUAGUGCCAAAGUUUAUUGUUACUUACCCAUUACUCUUCCUGGAACUUAGUACUGGAAACUACUGUGUAUAAUUUAACCGACAGACAAGACAUUAAUUUUGUGCACUUUCCAUGCAGAAUAUAGAGAUAUGUCGUCUUUACGAACUUGAUACUGUUAGCUCAGACAUUAUGAAGGUAUUUGCUCAUUUUCAUAUGUUUUCUGUUUAUGCAAAUUGUGUAUGAGCUUAUGGACUUUUCACUUGUACAACUCAGCAAUUGCAUGGUUUGGUU